rnacentral:rRNA from 1 species
GAUGAACGCUAGCGGCAGGCCUAAUACAUGCAAGUCGUACGGGAUUCGGGUGGUUGUACCUGAUGAGAGUGGCGCACGGGUGCGUAACACGUAUGUAACAUACUUUAGUCAGGGGGAUAGCCUCUCGAAACAGAGAUGAAGACCGCAUAACAUCAUUUAAUGGCAUCGUCUGAUGAUCAAAUAAUUAUAGGACUACGAUGGGCAUGCGCAAAAUUAGCUAGUUGGCGUGGGAACGGCAUACCAAGGCUACGAUGUUUAGGGGAUCUGAGAGGAUGACCCCCCACACUGGUGCUGACACGCGGACCAGACUCCUACGGGAGGCAGCAGUAAUGAAUAUUGGUCAAUGGACGGAAGGCUGAACCAGCCAUGCAGCGUGCAGGAAGACGGCCCUAUGGGUUGUAAACUGCUUUUGCAGGGGAAUAAACCUCGGUACGUGUACCGAGUUGAAUGUACCUUGAGAAUAAGGAUCGGCUAACUCCGUGCCAGCCGCCGCAGUAAUAC